GACGAGCCACCCGAACGUUAUCCGGAUUUACUGGGCGUAAAGCGCGUUCAGGCGGUUUGGCAAGUCGGGCAUGAAAUCUCUCGGCUCAACCGGGAGAGGUUGUCCGAUACUGCUGGACUUGAGGGCAGUAGAGGGUGGUGGAAUUCCGGGUGUAGUGGUGAAAUGCGUAGAUAUCCGGAGGAACACCAGUGGCGAAAGCGGCCACCUGGACUGUACCUGACGCUCAAACGCGAAAGCUAGGGGAGCGAACGGG
rnacentral:rRNA from 1 species